GGGCUCCCGAGUGUGGGGAGGGCGGCUCAGCAGGAGCUGCUGCUUCCCAGAAAGUUGAUUAUUUUUAACCCGGGAAGAAGAAAGGAAGGAGGCGAGGGAGAAGGACUCAGAGAAAAGAGGAGAGGAAAAGAGAGGAGAGGAGAGAAAUGGAGUCUCGCUUGUCACCAGGCUGGAGUACAGUGGCGUGAUCUCAGCUCACUGCAACCUCCGCCUCCCAGGUUCAAGCGAUUCUCCUGCCUCAGCCUCCCAAGUAGCUUGGAUUACAGAUGUGUGCCACCACGCCCUGUUAAUUUUUUUUUGUUUGUUUUGUUUUGUUUUUUGUUUUUUGUUUUUGAGAUGGAGUCUUGCUCUGUCGCCCAGGCUGGAGUGCAGUGGCCCUGAUCUCGGCUCACCGCAAGCUCCACCUCCCGGGUUCACGCCAUUCUCCUCCCUCAGCCUCCCAAGUAGCUGGGACUACAGGCGCCCACCACACCCAGCUAAUUUUUUAUAUAUUUUUUAGUAGAGACAGGGUUUCACUGUAUUAGCCAGGAUGGUCUCGAUCUCCUGACCUCGUGAUCCGCCUGCCUUGGCCUCCCAAAGUGCU
rnacentral:lncRNA from 1 species